AGAUUUAAGAUGGUUUUUCCUUCUCCCAGUCGGUGCUCUGUCUGCUCUGGAGUGUGGAUCACAGUCUGUUCAUGGCAGCUGCUGAGAUCUGGAGAGUGACUGCCUGGAGAGCACCUCGGGCCGGGCUGGGACUCUCAGCCAGGGCUACGCUAAAACAGCUGGGAAGAUACCUGAGGAAAGAUCCUUUGGAGCCCAGGGCAGAGGUUUGGGACAGAGCACCAGGAUCCAGAAGUAUUUCAGCUAUAACUCAAACACUGAAGGAGAUGAGGCUGUGCUCCUUGUUUUCUCAUUCCUCAGUGAUCCCUGAAUUACACAGCUCUUCCAGAAAUACACUUUCUGUGAGGCCAAGGUUACCUUUUCAGAGCUCCUGCAGGAUCAGAACACUUCAGUGGGGCUACAGAAGUUCCUGGAGAUCACUGUGCCAGGGGAGGUACUCGACUGAAGGCACCCCCUGAGCAGCCUCACUGACACUGAGAGGAGGAGGAGGAGCCUCUUGACCAAAAAUGACAAGUGUCUUCCCUCUCCUGCCAUGGCCUGACUGGGGGCAGUUUGCAGGACAGGGUGUGGUUCUGACAGGCUGGCAGAGCCCAGGGGAGCAGUGGCAGUGGCAGUGACACCCUCCGGAGUGCCUGCUGUUGGCUGGGGUGAGUAGCAGCUGUUCACUAAGGGUGGGGUGUCACACUCACGGGAAGGGGGGGUGGUGCAUUAAAAAUC